ACGCUCGACACCUACGGGAGGCAGCAGUAGGGAAUCUUCCACAAUGGGCGCAAGCCUGAUGGAGCAACACCGCGUGAGUGAAGAAGGGUUUCGGCUCGUAAAGCUCUGUUGUUGGAGAAGAACGUGCGUGAGAGUAACUGUUCACGCAGUGACGGUAUCCAACCAGAAAGUCACGGCUAACUACGUGCAAGCAGCCGCGGUAAUCUGAGCGGGCUGGCAAGGC
rnacentral:rRNA from 1 species